CAGCCGCCGCGGGAAUACGGAGGGAGCUAGCGUUGUUCGGAAUUACUGGGCGUAAAGCGCGCGUAGGCGGUUACUCAAGUCAGAGGUGAAAGCCCGGGGCUCAACCCCGGAACUGCCUUUGAAACUAGGUGACUAGAAUCUUGGAGAGGUCAGUGGAAUUCCGAGUGUAGAGGUGAAAUUCGUAGAUAUUCGGAAGAACGCCAGUGACGAAGGCGACUGACUGGACAAGUAUUGACGCUGAGGUGCGAAAGCGUGGGGAGCAAACAGGAUUAGAUACCCCUGUAGUCCCUGUCUCUUAUAC
rnacentral:rRNA from 1 species